ensembl:rRNA 5S_rRNA 5S ribosomal RNA
GAUGAUGGCCAUACCGCUCUGAUCCGAUAAGCUAAGCAGGGUCAGGCCUGGCCAGUACUUGGAUGGGAGACCACCUGGGAAUAUCAGGCUCUGUAGGCU